GAGGGUCACAUUCAGACUAGAAGGUGGGGUGCAGUUACAGCUCACUGCAGCCUCAACCUCCUGGGCUCAAGCAAUCCUCUCCUCACCCUCCUGAAUAUCUGGGACUACAGGAGCACACCACCAUACCUGGACGGAGUCUCGCUCUGUCCCCCAGGCUGGAGUGCAGUGGCGCAAUCUCGGCUCACCACAAUCUCUGCCUCCCAGGUUCAAGCACCUCCUGCCUCACCUCCUGAGUAGCUGGGACUACAGGCACUCGCCACCAUGCCCAGCUCAUUUUUGUAUUUUUAAUAGCAACAGGGUUUCACCAUGUUGGCUAGUCUGGUCUCAAACUCUUGACCUCAUGAUCCGCCUGCCUCAGCCUCCCAAAGUGCUGGGAUUACAGGCGUGAGCCACCACACCCAACCUGUUUCUUAGUUUUUAACAAGAGUUAAAAAGUAAAAAAUAGUACUACACACAUAUACCACACACACAUUUUGAGACAGGAUCUCGCACGAUCAUGGCUCACUGCAGCCUCAACCCCUGGGGCUCAAGUGAUCCUCCCAACUCAGCGUCUGGAGCAGCUGGGACUACAGGCCCGUGCUACCACAUCCAGCUAAUUUUUGUAUUUUUUUUUUAUAAUAGGGUUUUGUCAAGUUGCCUGGGCUAGUCUUAAACUCCUGGGCUCAAGCAAUCCAUCCACCUCAGCCUCCCAAAGAAAAAUACGUAAAGUAAACUUAGUGUAGCCUAAGUGCACGAUGUUUCUAAAUUCUACUUUAUGUCCAGUGAUGGCCUAGGCCUUCACAUCCACUCACUACGUACUCACCCGGAGUCCUGUAAGCUCCACACAUGCUAAGUGCCCUAUACAGGUGUACCAUCUUUUAUGCUUAUCUUUACUGCACCUUUUCUAUGUAUACAAAUACCCUUACAACAGCCUGUACUAUUCAGUACAGUACCAUGCUGUAGAGGACUGUAGCCUGGGAGCAACAGGCUAUUCCAUAUGGCCUAGGUGUGCAGGAGGCUACACUAUUAGGUUUAUAUAAGUACUCUGAUAUUAGCAUGACAAUGAAAUCGCCCAGUGAUGCAUUUCUCAGAACAUAUCCCUGUCAUUAAGCAGCCUGUGACUGUAUAAUACUUGGAAUGUGUUAAAAUUAGGUAAAUCAUAGGUCCCAGACUUCCCUGUCUCCCACACAGGAGCCUGCAGUGACAGAGGAGAGUUUUAGGGAGAGCUAUGCUUCUUUCCAUAAAAGUCCACUUUUCUGAAAAGACUAUUCCCCUUUUCUACCUUCUUUCUCAGAGGAGAGAGAGCAGGACUACUUCUAGGUAUUCUUUCCUUGAAUUUUUUUUUUUUUUGAGAUGGAGCUUUGCUUUUUUUUUUUUUUUUUUGAGACAGAGUCUUACUCUUGUUGCCCAGGCUAGAGUGCAGCAGCACAAUCUCAGCUCACUGCAACCUCUGCCUCCGGGGUUCAAGCAAUUCUCCUGCUUCAGCCUCCUGAGUAGCUGAGAUUACAGGUGCCCACCACGACGCCUGGCUAAUUUUUGUACUUUUGGUAGAGACAGGAUUCAGCAUGUUGGCCAGGCUGGUCUAGAACUCCUGACCGCACAUGAUCCACCCACCUUGGCCUCCCAAAGUGCUGGGAUUACAGGCAUGAGCCACUGUCCUGGCUUGAGAUGGAGCUUUACUCUUCUUGCCCAGGCUGGAGUGCAAUGGUGCAAUCUCAGCUCACUGCAACAUCCACCUCCAGGGUUCAAGUGACUCUCCUGCCUCAGCUUCCUAAGUAGCUGGGAUUAUAAGCAUAUGCCAUCAUGCCCAGCUAAUUCUGUAUUUUUAGUGGAGAGAGGAUUUCACUAUGUUGUUCAGGCUGGUCUCGAACUGACCUCAGGUGAUCAACCCACCUGGGCUUCCCAAAGUGCUGGGAUUACAGGUGUGAGCCACCACGCCCGACACUUUUGUUGAAUCUCUAUACACAGUCUUCACCCAGACUGCCUGGAUUCAAAUCUGGGCUCCGCCUCUUACUUGCUCUGUGACUUUGGGCAAAUUAAUGUAAUCUUUUGAAGUCUUGGAUUUAUCAUCUGUGAAAGCAGCGCCCUCACAGAAUUACUGUGAGGAUUAAAUGAGUUAAGACACAUAAAGGACCCAGAAGUGUAGCUGAGGUGCAGUAAGUGUUAGCUGGUGGUUCUUAUUAUUCUGGACCUUCUCCUUAUAAACCAUGCUAAAACAUUAAGUAGGCUUCCCUUACAACUGCGAGUGCACACCAAUGCCUCCAGUCAAGCAAGAGCACAGUGGCCCCCACUGCAGGCUGAGAGCGUCUCUGUGUAACUUGGAAUCCCAUCACCUAUGGGUUUGACAGCUUUUUUCUUUUCUUUUGAGAUGGAGUCUCACUCUGUCACCCAGGCUGGAGUGCAGUGGUGUGAUCUCGGCUCACUGCAACCUACACCUCCCGGGUUCAAGCAAUUCUCCUGCCUCAGCCUCCUGAUAGCUGGGAUUAUAGAUGUGCACCACCAUGCCUGGCUAAUUUUUGUAUUUUUGGUAGAGAUGGGGUUUCACCAUCACAGACCAUCUAUUUGAGUAAAAACAAUCAAAAGAAGAGGAAGAGUGAAAAGAAAAGAAGCCACAGGGAAAAGGGGGAAUUCAGAGGACCAUGUGAUGCUCACAAAUGGCCAGUCCCUCAGCUCACCUCUCUCAAGUGCUGGCUCCACUAGAAGACAUGACAUCUCAGGCCCAACAUACCCCAAAUAGAGCUACUGAUCUCCCUUUCAACCCAGUGCCUUUGUUAAUCUUCCUACUUAUCCAACUGUUCAGGCCAAAACCUGCCCCUACCUCUCUCAUCCAAUCCACCAGCAAGUCCUGUUGGCUUUAACAGCAAAGUAUGUCCUAUCCCCUGCUCUUACAGGCCACUAUCACCUCACAUUCCUAUGACUGCAAGAGCCUCCUCCUAAUGACCUCCCCACUCCCAUGCCUGACCCUGAAUGUCCAUUCUUCACACAUAUGCUAAAUGAUUAUUAUUAUUUUGAGUCGAAGUCUUGCUGUUGCCCAGGCUGGAGUGCAAUGACACGAUCUCGGCUCACUGCAACCUCUGCCUCCCAGGUUCAAGCAAUUCUCCUGCCUCAGCCUCCUGAGUAGCUAGGAUACAGGUGUGCACCACCACACCUGGCUAAUUUUUUGUAUCUUUAGUAGAGAUGGGGUUUCACCACAUUGGCCAGGAUGGUCUCGAACUCCUGACCUUGUGAUCCACCCGUCUGGACCUCCCAAAGAGCUGGGAUUAUAGGCAUGAGCCACUGUGCUCGGCCCAUGUGCUGAAUUCUUUUUAAUUUUUUUCACCAGUGUUACUUGCCAAAUGUUGAAUUCUUUAAAAACAUAAAUCUCAUCACUUCCCUGCGUCCAAACCUCUAAUGGCUUAUUUUCCUAGGUGACUAAAACCCAAAUGCCUUAGCACAGCUCCAGUGCCCCCGCAUACCACUCAUCCUCAUAUUUACUAAGCUCUGGCCACACAGGUCUUCCAAUCCUUAAACAAGCAAGCUCAUUCCCACAUCAAGGCCUCAACAUAUGAUUGUCCAGAAUGUUCCUCUCCCAGGUCUCCACACAGCUGCUCAUCCUCUUCCUUCAACUCUCAGCUCCAAUGUCACCUCCAAAGAGUCUUUCCUCUUCAUCUGCUCUCAAACAGCCCCUCCCCUUCUAUUCCCAACUCAGCCUUGUGCCCCAGUCACUAAUGCCUUGCAAUGCUUUAUUUUCUUCAUGCAACUCAUCACCAUAAAAAGUGGAUUCGUUA